UAAAUCGUGCAUGGAUUCACACAAUUAUAAA
rnacentral:misc_RNA from 1 species